UACGUAGGGGGCAAGCGUUGUCCGGAUUUAUUGGGCGUAAAGAGCGUGUAGGCGGCUUUACAGGUCCGUUGUGAAAACUCGAGGCUCAACCUCGAGACGCCGGUGGAAACCGUAAAGCUAGAGUCCGGAAGAGGAGAGUGGAAUUCCUGGUGUAGCGGUGAAAUGCGUAGAUAUCUGGAGGAACACCGGUGGCGAAGGCGACAUCCUGGACCGGUAUUGACGCUGAGACGCGAAAGCCAGGGGAGCGAACGGG
rnacentral:rRNA from 1 species